GCACUGCAAGAGUGCUCGUCGUACAUGAAAUGGGAACUCAGAGCAGCUGCAAGGAAGGUCAUCUGAAACUGAAGUGCUGGCUUCUUAACCAUUGUUUUGGGGAUCAAGCAAUGAAAAAUAUAAACUCGAGAAUACUGAAAUCAAGCACAGCGACUUCAGCAGGGGAAAGGUGGGUCCUACGUCAAUCCCCCAAGAGAUGCUGGUAAAAUCAUAAAGAGAGUUUGCCCAGUAAAAGGUUUGCUACUGAAGCCAAAGUGCAGUCUCACUUCAAGACCAG